rnacentral:rRNA from 1 species
UGGUGGAGUGAUUUGUCUGGUUAAUUCCGUUAACGAACGAGACCUCGACCUGCUAAAUAGUUCGGCAAAUCCUUCGGGAUUUGUACGUGACUUCUUAGAGGGACUAUCGGUGUGUAGCCGAUGGAAGUUCGAGGCAAUAACA